rnacentral:tRNA from 1 species
GGGGGAGUAACUCAGCCUGGUUAGAGUGUUAGCCUGUCACGCUAGAAGCCGCGGGUUCGAUUCCCGUCUCUCCCG